rnacentral:lncRNA from 1 species
ACAAAAAUAAAUUAAAAUAAAAUAAAUAAUUGUAAAGUCUAAUUAAAUACAGAAUAUAUUUGUUAUAUAAAAAGCAUAACAGUGCAACGCAUACAUAAAAUUGCACAAAUAUUAUUUCAUAGGAGUUAGGCUACAGCACUCAGGAGUUUCAUCAUAUUCAAAAUAAAAGGGUUUUUAAAGAAAUUUCCUGGCUCAUUACAUAACAUCAUUAGCUUAUUAUUUUUAGGAUGUAUUCCCAUGCCGGUUGCAGGUCAACUGCUGGCUUAUCAUUUAUGAGGUUUUCCAUCUCCCACCUUCUAGUUAUUUCUAUUGUUUCGGUUAGCAAGGCUUGCAAUUCUCUUAGGAUGGGCUUUACAAUUUUAGCAUUAUUUCAAUCAACCCAUAGAUCCACAUUAUACGCCUACAUUGCUAACACAGUGGUAAGAUUCACCUUUUCUAUGUUCUUCUUAUGCUUCUUAAGC